rnacentral:rRNA from 1 species
AAUAGAUACCCUGGUAGUCCACGCCGUAAACGGUGGGCACUAGGUGUGGGCAACAUUCCACGUUGUCCGUGCCGCAGCUAACGCAUUAAGUGCCCCGCCUGGGGAGUACGGCCGCAAGGCUAAAACUCAAAGGAAUUGACGGGGGCCCGCACAAGCGGCGGAGCAUGUGGCUUAAUUCGACGCAACGCGAAGAACCUUACCAAGGCUUGACAUACACCGGAAACGUCCAGAGAUGGGCGCCCCCUUGUGGUCGGUGUACAGGUGGUGCAUGGCUGUCGUCAGCUUGUGUCGUGAGAUGUUGGGUUAAGUCCCGCAACGAGCGCAACCCUUGUCCCGUGUUGCCAGCAGGCCCUUGUGGUGCUGGGGACUCACGGGAGACCGCCGGGGUCAACUCGGAGGAAGGUGGGGACGACGUCAAGUCAUCAUGCCCCUUAUGUCUUGGGCUGCACACGUGCUACAAUGGCCGGUACAAUGAGCUGCGAUACCGCGAGGUGGAGCGAAUCUCAAAAAGCCGGUCUCAGUUCGGAUUGGGGUCUG